CCUCUCUCACCCGUCCUCCCUCGGCUCUCUCUCUCUCGCGGCGGCGUGGGUAGUCGGCAGCAGGGCGCGGCGGCAGGCGGGCUCCCGGUGCGCGGGUGGCCGCGCGGCAGCAGGCCGAGGUGGGCGCAGCGGCAGGCCGUGGCCGGGCGCGGCGGCAGGGCGAGGCCGUCCGCGGCUGCCGGGCGAGGCCGGCGGCGGGCGGGCCCCGGCGCGCGGGAGGCCGGGCGAGGCCGGCGAGCGGCGCUAGCUGCCGCGGGAUCUGGGCCGCGCUGCGCCACACUCCAGGCCAGCCGCAGCAGGCCAGCGGCGGGAGCAGAGAGGUGGAGCACGGCACGGCAGGAGCAGCCGCCUAAGGUUGUAGCAAUGUUAGGUAUAAAUCAGAUUCGAAUAUAUUAUGGUCAGGGAGAGGUAGUUAAUGGGCCGUCGAGGGCUGAUUUAGGUCCUUUUCCUCAUAUCACCGUUGAUCAUCCGCACCCUGAGAGUGCGAGCAUAAGGGAUCUGAAGGAUUGGUUUAUGGCGAUGUUUCAACUAGAUGCAAAUCAGUGUUCGGUCACGGUUCAUUGCCUGUAUAUUACAGGCAUUAAUCCAGUCGUAUAUGAACUUCGAGUUGCAGACCGAACAUAUAAGUGGAGACAAUGGGUAGAGUGGUGUAGGCGGUGCAAUAUUCUGUUAACUAUUCUUGUGCAGCCAUGUCUAAACGAGGUGUUAUGUGAGGCAAGCUCAUCGCAGCCGGUUGAGAACGAGAGUGCCUGCUAUGGUGAUGUGUCUGUGGACCAAUUACAGAUUAUAUAGGAACAUGAGACUGAAAGGGAGCAAAUUGAUGUUGAUGGUCUGGCUAAUGGUGGAGAAACAGUCGAAGCGAUUGUUGAAGAUCUAGCAGCCGUUGACCGCAACGCCAUUCACGAAGAGGAAAACCUGAAUAUGGAAGAUGAGAUGGACGACGACAAUGAAGAUGAUGAUAACCUGGGUAGUCAGGCUCCGAUUCCUGAGGAAUGGAAUAGGCCUGAUCAAUCGAGAAUGGAAGCUAUGGACAUGCAGAAGUAUUCGUACCAAUAUGGUUGUAGCAUGAUUCAGCCGGGUCAAUUAUUUCCUAAUAAGCAAGAAUUGAAGGACACAGUUUCACGGUGGGCGGUGAAGUCAUUAAGGGAGGUGUAUGUUAAGGUUUCAAGCCCAUCAAAAUAUAGUGUGAAGUGUAGGGCCACGGGAUGCACGUUCUACGUACACGCGCAUGUGCCGAAGAAUGAGAUCCAUUGGGUUGCCUCUAUCGUGCAGAAUCACAGCUGCACGUUGCAGAACUUAGGUAAGAGGCAUUGUAAUUUGACAGCGUCUCUUAUUGCAAAUGAACUAUAUAGUGAGAUAAUCGAGAAGAGAGACAUGGAGUGCUCAUUCAUCCAGCGAUCAGUUCGCCGGCAAUUCAAAUAUGACAUUACAUACCAGAAAGCUUGGCGGGCCAAACAGAUUGCACUUGAGAAGCGUUGGGGCUCAUAUGAGGCCUCAUAUUGUAACCUCCCUCAUGUGCUUGACAUCUUGAAGGAAAGGAACCCUGGCACAUACACUGCAUUCAAGGAAUCGGUGUACAACGGACAGGCAAAUGUGUUUAGACAUGCGUUCCUAUCUUUGGGCCCUUGCAUUGAGUCAUUCAAGCAUUGUGGACCAGUGCUUUGUGUGGAUGAGACCUUCUUGACGGGGAAGUAUAAAGGUCAAUUAUACCCAUCUGAUCAUUUGCAAUUUAAAUAUAGGAUUAUUGCAUUCUUGCCCCUGUUUUAAACUCAAAUUGCGAUUUUACUCCCACUUUCUUUCACUUUACGUUUUUACCCCUACUGUUUCAUCGUGAAGCCUCCGUUACCCCUGAAAUUCACUCUGUUAGCUGCAGCCAAGAUUUAGAGAAUUUAACUACUACAAAAACAAUUUGUAGGAAUUUUCUGGUUUUUAGAGGCGGUUCAUCCCUUCACCCGCCCCUAAAAAUGAGCGCCAUUUUCAGAGGCGGUUAAUGGCGUCACCUGCCCCUAAAAAGAGCAUUUCUAUGAGCUAGUGAUGCCAUGACCCGCCCUCUAAAAAUGUUAGAAUUUGUAGGGGCGGGUCAUGGCCUCAUCCAUCCCUAAAAGUGCAUUUUUAGAGGGUGGCUAAUGGCAUGGCCCGCCCCUACAAAUGGUUCCACAUAAAAAAACUUGAUAAUUUUUUCAUACGAUCUUUGAUGAAGUCAAACUUUAUAUCAAAAUUGUAGAGAAUGACGAGGAGAUCUAAAACUUUAUAAUUGAUAACUUUUUUAUUUAAGAUAACUCAAUGGGCUAAAAAAUUAUUAUACGUUCUCUAAUAGCUAUAACUAUAUUGUAUCUCAUGUAACUCAAGUUAUACUUUAAGGUUUCCACAAUCUUAACUUAAAUAUACACUUAGAUAUAUUUGGUUAUAUUUUUUGUUUCUAUAGUUCACAAUAACCAUAUUGCUGAAGUUUUACAUUUUUUUAAUUUGUUUUUCUAUAUGUAAACAAUUAAAUGAAUUUUUAAAUAAAAUACAAAAAUAUUUUUAGGGGCGGGUGGGGCCCUGCCCCUGAGAAUCUAUUUGUAGGGGCGGGUGAGGCCCUAACCCGUCCCUACAAAGCCUUUUCCAAAUUUUGUAGAAAAAUCAUUUAGUCCAUAAUAAAUGGUAAAACACAUCAAAAAAUUGUGAAAUUUUUAACAUAAGCAUAUUCUGAUAAGUAGAACAUAAGAAAAACAUCAAAAUCACAUUGCAGUGUAUAUUAUCAAUAAAAGUAUUGAAACCACAAUGAGUACCUAAGUCGCACUACUAUCUCAUACAACUCAAGGCUAACUAUAUGUUUUCCACACUAUUAAAGACUAAACAUGUUGAAUUGUAUUUUUUAUAUUUUUCACUAGUUCUACAGGUCAUUUCAUGUUUAUGGUAAAAAUUUCACAUUUUUAAGUGUUUUGUAGUUUUAUUUGAAUUAAAUGAAUUUUCAAAAAAAAUUGAAAACCAGUCAGAGUAAAAUAGCUGGAGUAUUCGGGAUAUAGAUCGGAUGCCCGAACCCAUUUCCGGAGUAUCCGGGCUUAUACCCGAAGCAUCUGGAAUAUAGAUACGAUGUCCGAACCCAUUUCCGGGGCAUAUAUGCGAAGUAUCCCAGAUAUAGAAGUUUCACAUUUUUUAUUUAUUUUGCUAUAUGUAAACACAAUUAAAUGAAUUUACAAAUAAAACACAAAAUUAUUUUAGGGGCAGUUGAUGGCGUCACCCGCCCGUACAAAUCAAUUUUCAAGUUAAUAUAAAAGAAUAGCAUACUCCAUAGAAUCACAAGUGACUAUAUAGUGUGGUGGUAAGAUAUGCGUGAGGCUUGAGGUUGUGGUGGGCGGUUAGCAUGGAUAUUUUUUUAUUUUGCUGUUUUUGAGUUUUUUUUCUAAUUUUUUAUAUUUUGAAAAAUAAUUUGUAGGGACGGGUCAUGAGUUCACCCGUCCCUAGAAAUCAUUUGUAGGCGCGGGCAUGGUACUCGUCCCUACAAAUUCGAUUUUUAGAUGCCUUAAAAUAGUUUUUUACCUACCCCUAAAAAUACUUUUUGUAGUAGCGAUUCUAGUAGUGAAUUCGCUCCUACGGGAGUCGAAUCAAGAGCUAUUAGAUGCUACACAGGUGCUCUAACCACUAGCCAAUGUAACACACAAAUAAAAAGGAACAUUGCCAGAUGAUUAAUUUGGUUGCGAAUAGCUCAUAUAUACGUCCUCUUUGGUUAAAGAUAGGAGCUGCAAUGAUUCUACACCAUAUAUAAGGGGAGUAGAUAGCUGCUAUAAUCAUUUUAACACCAUAUUAAGAGGUCCCAAUCAUUAACUUCUAUCACAUUGCAGUGUAUAUUAUCAAUAAAAGUGUUGAAAUCACAGUGAGUACCUAAGUCACACUACUAUCUCAUACAACUCAAGGCUAACUUUGUGUUUUCACACUAUUAAAGACUAAACAUGUUGAAUUAUAUUUUUCAUAUUUUUUACUAGUUCUAUAUGUCAUUACAUGCUUAUGGUAAAAGUUUCAUGUUUUUAAGUAUUUUAAAGUUUUAUUUGAAUUAAAUGAAUUUUUAGAAUAAAUUUGAAAACCAGCCAGAGUAUCUAGAAAAAUAGCUGGAGUAUCCGGGCUUAUACCCGGAGUAUCCGGGAUAUAGGUUGGAUGUCCGAACCCAUUUCUAAAGUAUCCGGGCAUAUACCUGAAGUAUCCCCGAUAUAGAAGUUUCACAUUUUUUUGAUUUAUUUUGCUAUAUGUAAACACAAUUAAAUGAAUUUACAAAUAAAAUAUACAAUUAUUUUUAGGAGCAGGUGAUGGCAUUACCCGCCCCUACAAAUCAAUUUCUGAGUUAAUACAAAAGAAUAGCAUACUCCAUAGAAUCACAAGUGACUGCGUAGUGUGGUGGUAAGGAAGAACCGCGUGAGACUUGAGGUGGUGGUGGCCGGUUAGCAGAGAUAUUUUUUUCUUUUUUAUUUUGCUGUUUUGAGUUUUUUCUAUUUUUUUCAUAUUCUGAAAAUUGAUUUGUAGGAAUGGGUCAUGGGUUCACCCGUCCCUACAAAUCAUUUGUAGGCACGGGCAUGUUACUCAUCCCUAAAAGUUCGAUUGUUAGAUGUGGAAACUAGGGGCGAGUAUCACACCCACCUCUAAAAAUAUUUUUACCCGCUCCUAAAAAUAAUUUUUAUAGUAGUGAUUCUAGUAAUGAAUUCGCUCCCACGAGAAGUCGAAUCAAGAGCUAUUAGAUGCUACUCAGGUGCUCUAACCACUAGGCUAUAUAACACACAAAUAAAAAGGACUAUUGCCAGAUGAUUAACUUGGUUGCGAAUAGCUCAUAUAGAUAGGUGCUGCAAUGAUUCUGCACCAUAUAUAAGGGGAGCAGAUAGCUGCUAUAAUCAUUUUAACACCAUAUUAAAAGGUCACAAUCAUUAACUUCUAAAACCAAAAGGUAGCAAUUAUCUCAGCCGCCUCAUCCCCCGCAUCGCCCCAGGGCGUCGGGCGGAUCGCCUCUGCGCCGCGGUUGCCGCCUGCCGCCGCCGAGCCCCCGUCUCCUCUCGUCUCCGGCCUCCCAGCCAGUGGCAAGGGGGCGGGUCUCUUGAAGAUCUACUUUAUCGUUAAUUUUUUUCAAUAAUUUUUUUUGAGUAAAUUACACUCACCAUACAACAACUUGGCAGGUGGGUGCAAAUUGGUUCAACAACAUGUAAAAUGCUUAAUUUAGUAUAAUAACUUGACAACUGGGCGCAUAUUAAUCCAACAACUUAGAAAAUGCUUAAUUUAGUGCAAUAACUUGGUGCAUUCAGAGUCCAAACCUUACUCGACAAUGUAUUUGCUAACGUCAGGUCAUAAUAAAUAGUAAACAGUAUAUUCACGUGAGAACGUAUUAUUUGACUAUAAAUUUUCAAUGUCGCAAUGGACACCAAUAAUUUUAUUCUCAGAAUAAAUUAAUUAUGGUUUUAUUAAAAUAAUUUAUUAUUUAACCACCAUUACAACAACAACAUAUUAAGCACAGUAGAUGAAUGUCAAUAAUUCUUAAAUUUAAUAACUAAAAAUUUCUGAUUGUGAUUUGCUACUUUUCAACUAUGUACAAUUUUUUAUUAGUUCAAAUAAUUCAAAUUCAAUCAAGUUUUAGAAUUACACCAUUAACAUCACUGAAACACUGAAGUCGAUAAGAGAGACCUUGAAACCCUAGGUUUCUUCUGCGCUUCUGCUCAUGUAUUCAACUAUGCUCAAGUUUGUUUCUGUUUAUUACAUUAUUUAGCUCAUUUUGCAUUCUUACGAAUAUAGGAGGCUUUAAAAAUAUAUGUACCAAGCUCCUAAAAGAUAUCAAUAAUUUGUAUCAACAUAUUAUUUUUUUAGCUUAACAGUGCAUAUAAUCAAACAUAUCGAAAAUAGUGAGGGUGGAAUUUUCAAUAUUGAAUAUCAAAUUAAAUAGUUUUAAUCAAAUUAUAUCACUAUACAAAAAUAAUUAAUGUAAAGACAAAACAUUGUAAACACUUAGGCUUCUUAUCUUGUCCAAGUACAUUUCCACGCAUGCGCAACUCAAAAAUCAAUGGUCAAAUAAUAUUUAAUAAUUUGUCCCAAUGUGAAUAUACUCUUUAUUGAGAUCUUGCAUUAGUUACAUAGCCAUGUAAUAUUUGGACUGUGAAUGCACCUAUUUGCCAAGUUAUUGCAUUAAAUAAGGUAUUUUAUAAGUUGUUGGAGCGAUUUGCACCCACCUGUCAAGUUAUUGCACUAAAUUGAGCAUUUUAUAAAUUGUUGGAUCAAUUUGCACCCACCUGACAAGUUGUUGUAUAGUGGGUGCAAUUUACUCCUUUCUUUUCCUCCAGAAUAAUUAAGUUAGACCUUAGAUUGUCUUUUCGAUGUUUCCGAUCUGGCUUUCUAUGUCGUAUUUGAUCUUCUCCGGUGGAUGUGUCGUUUUCUUCGGAGACGUCGCAUUCUUCAUUGAGGGAUCGAGGUACGUUGGCCAAAUCCUCUUUGAGGAGGAAUUGGAUAUGUUUUCCCCUCUGGUGGAAUCGUCUUUUCGGUCGCUGGUGCUACUACUGGCGGCGGCGGAUCUGCUCUUCCGGCCGUCAUUGGUAAUGGCUAAUGGCGGCGACGGAUCUUAUGUUCGGUUCAACCUUCAGAAGAUAUGGUCGAUGUGCUUUCGGCGCCUUUUACUCCCUACAAUGGUUGAGCAUACAGCGCCUCUUUUGCAGCCUCCACAGAAGAUUGGGUUUGCAGUUCCAUCUAGGAUAUAGCUAGAAUAAAUUGAAGUCCAGCCCCUGCCAACCCUCUAUAAAUCCGGAACACAUUGGCUCUCUCUAGGCAAGGCAAAUACCCUGCACAUACAGCCAUGUCGUUCAUCAAGAACCUAGCGGUCGCUUGCUUCACCUUGGCCCUGCUCAGCGCAUCAUAUUAUGGUGCUGAGUCCGACUGCUGACACGCAGGAGAACAUCGCGCCAUCAGGUAUCCAUACUGCUACGAUUGGGACAGGACCAAGUGCAAGUCUGACAAGACGUGCCUCGCCAUCUGCCUGGGAAAGAAAGGCAACUACAUCAGCGGCGGCUGCUCCAUGUUGACGCGAUCAUGCUACUGCACCUAGCGAUGUGACGACACUGCUCCAGCCGGCCCCCAUGGCGCGGCCACGCCGGGACCAGCACUGGCUUGAGACGCCGGCGAGAGCGAUGGUGGGAUGGCGCUUAGUGGUGAUGGAGAGAGCAUUUUAAUCAGUCAAGCCGAACAUGUGUAGCGCCAAUUGCGUGCAAAUAAAUUUGAGUGGACUAAUAAUAUGUUCGUAUCAGUACUUGACUUUUGCUUUGAUUUGGAUGGUUUUGCGCUGAUUUGAAAUUCA